rnacentral:rRNA from 1 species
UACGUAGGGUGCGAGCGUUGUCCGGAAUUAUUGGGCGUAAAGAGCUCGUAGGCGGUCUGUCGCGUCGAUCGUGAAAAUUUGGGGCUUAACCCUGAGCUUGCGGUCGAUACGGGCAUGACUGGAGUUCGGCAGGGGAGACUGGAAUUCCUGGUGUAGCGGUGAAAUGCGCAGAUAUCAGGAGGAACACCGGUGGCGAAGGCGGGUCUCUGGGCCGUUACUGACGCUGAGGCGCGAAAGCCAGGGGAGCGAACGGG